GAUGAACGCUGGCGGCGUGCCUAAUACAUGCAAGUCGAGCGAACGGACGAGAAGCUUGCUUUUCUGAUGUUAGCGGCGGACGGGUGAGUAACACGUGGAUAACCUACCUAUAAGACUGGGAUAACUUCGGGAAACCGGAGCUAAUACCGGAUAAUAUUUUGAACCGCAUGGUUCAAAAGUGAAAGACGGUCUUGCUGUCACUUAUAGAUGGAUCCGCGCUGCAUUAGCUAGUUGGUAAGGUAACGGCUUACCAAGGCAACGAUGCAUAGCCGACCUGAGAGGGUGAUCGGCCACACUGGAACUGAGACACGGUCCAGACUCCUACGGGAGGCAGCAGUAGGGAAUCUUCCGCAAUGGGCGAAAGCUUGACGGAGCAACGCCGCGUGAGUGAUGAAGGUCUUCGGAUCGUAAAACUCUGUUAUUAGGGAAGAACAAAUGUGUAAGUAACUGUGCACAUCUUGACGGUACCUAAUCAGAAAGCCACGGCUAACUACGUG
rnacentral:rRNA from 1 species